rnacentral:rRNA from 1 species
AGGACGAACGCUGGCGGCGUGCUUAACACAUGCAAGUCGAACGGAAAGGCCCGCUUGCGGGUACUCGAGUGGCGAACGGGUGAGUAACACGUGGGCAACCUGCCCUCAGCUCUGGGAUAACUCCGGGAAACCGGUGCUAAUACUGGAUAUCGACUUCUGCUCGCAUGGGUGGUUGUUGAAAGUUUUCGGCUGGGGAUGGGCCCGCGGCCUAUCAGCUUGUUGGUGGGGUGAUGGCCUACCAAGGCGAUGACGGGUA